rnacentral:rRNA from 1 species
UACGAAGGGGGCUAGCGUUGUUCGGAAUCACUGGGCGUAAAGCGCACGCAGGCGGAUCGAUAAGUCGGGGGUGAAAGCCCGGGGCUCAACCUCGGAAUUGCCUUCGAUACUGUCGGUCUCGAGUCCGGGAGAGGUGAGUGGAAGUCCUAGUGCAGAGGUGAAAUUCGUAGAUAUUAGGAAGAACACCAGUGGCGAAGGCGGCUGACUGGCCCGGUACUGACGCUCAGGUGCCAAAGGGUGCGGAGCAAACAGG